rnacentral:rRNA from 1 species
CCUACGGGUGGUUGCAGUGGGGAAUAUUGGACAAUGGGGGGAACCCUGAUCCAGCCAUGCCGCGUGUGUGAAGAAGGCCCUCGGGUUGUAAAGCACUUUCAGUGAGGAAGAACGCCUGGUGGUUAAUACCCAUCAGGAAAGACAUCACUCACAGAAGAAGCACCGGCUAACUCCGUGCCAGCAGCCGCGGUAAUACGGAGGGUGCGAGCGUUAAUCGGAAUUACUGGGCGUAAAGCGCGCGUAGGUGGCUUGAUAAGCCGGUUGUGAAAGCCCCGGGCUCAACCUGGGAACGGCAUCCGGAACUGUCAAGCUAGAGUGCAGGAGAGGAAGGUAGAAUUCCCGGUGUAGCGGUGAAAUGCGUAGAGAUCGGGAGGAAUACCAGUGGCGAAGGCGGCCUUCUGGACUGACACUGACACUGAGGUGCGAAAGCGUGGGUAGCAAACAGGAUUAGAUACCCCUGUAGUC